rnacentral:lncRNA from 1 species
UAGGAUUGUAUCCCUUUGAAGAGAAAACAUGCUCCAAUUGAUCUGCUCAAGGAGAGUUAAUUUUCUUCUAUUUAAAAGAGUAGCUUUUGGCAGGUCAUCUUUCUGCCUGGGAACGAAUUCCCUCACCUUCAGAAGAUCAACAGUUGGUUUUCCAAGGCCUUCCUUGACCAGUGGACAAUGGCAAGUAGAAGAAAAUGCAAACGACUUGUGCACAAAACCCAAGGGGAAAUGA